rnacentral:lncRNA from 1 species
UCAUUUCAAAAUAACAGGGGAAAAUGUAUUGUUAUCAAGAUGAUGUAUUAUCUACACAAACUGCCUUUGCUAACCUAGUGGCCACAAAACCUCCUUGCAAGUUCCUUUCACCUGGUUCAUUCCUCCACAUUUAUCGGGACUUGGCUUGGUGCUCCACCUCACAUUUCCCAAAAAAGCCUCCUGAUGCCUCUCCUACUCACAGUGGACGGGGGCCUGCACUGUCUGUCAUCAGGU